rnacentral:rRNA from 1 species
UCGAACGGCAGCGCGGGCUUCGGCCUGGCGGCGAGUGGCGGACGGGUGAGGAAUACAUAGGAAUCUGCCCAGUCGUGGGGGAUAACCCGGGGAAACCCGGACUAAUACCGCAUACGACGGUGACGUGAAAGCCGGGGACCUUCGGGCCUGGCGCGAUUGGAUGAGCCUAUGUCGGAUUAGCUAGUUGGCGGGGUAAAGGCCCACCAAGGCGACGAUCCGUAGCUGGUCUGAGAGGAUGAUCAGCCACACUGGGACUGAGACACGGCCCAGACUCCUACGGGAGGCAGCAGUGGGGAAUAUUGGACAAUGGGCGCAAGCCUGAUCCAGCAAUGCCGCGUGGGUGAAGAAGGCCUUCGGGUUGUAAAGCCCUUUUGUACGGGAAGAAAUCAUCCGGGUUAAUACCCUGGGUGGAUGACGGUACCGUAAGAAUAAGCACCGGCUAACUUCGUGCCAGCAGCCGCGGUAAUACGAAGGGUGCAAGCGUUAAUCGGAAUUACUGGGCGUAAAGCGUGCGUAGGUGGUUGUUCAAGUCUGUCGUGAAAGCCCUGGGCUCAACCUGGGAAUGGCGAUGGAAACUGGGCGACUGGAGUGCGGUAGAGGAUGGCGGAAUUCCAGGUGUAGCGGUGAAAUGCGUAGAGAUCGGGAGGAACAUCCGUGGCGAAGGCGGCCAUCUGGACCAGCACUGACACUGAGGCACGAAAGCGUGGGGAGCAAACAGGAUUAGAUACCCUGGUAGUCCACGCCCUAAACGAUGCGAACUGGAUGUUGGUCUCAACUUGGAGAUCAGUGUCGAAGCUAACGCGUUAAGUUCGCCGCCUGGGGGAGUACGGUCGCAAGACUGAAACUCAAAGGAAUUGACGGGGGCCCGCACAAGCGGUGGAGUAUGUGGUUUAAUUCGAUGCAACGCGAAGAACCUUACCUGGCCUUGACAUGUCGCGAAUCCUGCAGAGAUGCGGGAGUGCCUUCGGGAAUGCGAACACAGGUGCUGCAUGGCUGUCGUCAGCUCGUGUCGUGAGAUGUUCGGUUAAGUCCGGCAACGAGCGCAACCCACACUUCCAGUUGCCAUCAUUUGGUUGGGCACUCUGGAAGAACUGCCGAUGAUAAGUCGGAGGAAGGUGUGGAUGACGUCAAGUCAUCAUGGCCCUUAUGGGCUGGGCUACACACGUGCUACAAUGGUCGGCACAGAGGGUUGCGAACCCGUGAGGGGGAGCCAAUCCCAGAAAACCGAUCGUAGUCCGGAUUGCAGUCUGCAACUCGACUGCAUGAAGUCGGAAUCGCUAGUAAUCGCGAAUCAGCAUGUCGCGGUGAAUACGUUCCCGGGCCUUGUACACACCGCCCGUCACACCAUGGGAGUUGGUUGCUCCAGAAGCAGGUAGUCUAACCGCAAGGGGACGCUGC